ACGGAAGGCAGCAGUGGGGAAUAUUGGGCAAUGGGCGAAAGCCUGACCCAGCGACGCCGCGUGAAGGAAGAAGAUCUUCGGAUUGUAAACUUCUUUUAUAUGGGACGAAACAAAUGACGGUACCAUAUGAAUAAGCCACGGCUAACUACGUGCCAGCAGCCGCGGUAAUACGUAGGUGGCGAGCGUUAUCCGGAUUUACUGGGUGUAAAGGGUGCGUAGGCGGGAUUGCAAGUCAGAUGUGAAAACUAUGGGCUUAACUCAUAGCCUGCAUUUGAAACUGUAGUUCUUGAGGGUCGGAGGGGUUACUGGAAUUCCCGGUGUGGCGGUGAAAUGCGUAGAUAUCGGGAGGAACACCGGUGGCGAAGGCGAGUAACUGGACGAUACCUGACGCUGAGACACGAAAGCGUGGGUAGCAAACAGGAUUAGAUACCCUGGUA
rnacentral:rRNA from 1 species